CCUACGGGCGACAGCAGUGGGGAAUAUUGCACAAUGGGGGAAACCCUGAUGCAGCAACGCCGCGUGAGUGAAGAAGUAUUUCGGUAUGUAAAGCUCUAUCAGCAGGGAAGAAGAUGACGGUACCUGAGUAAGAAGCCCCGGCUAACUACGUGCCAGCAGCCGCGGUAAUACGUAGGGGGCAAGCGUUAUUCGGAUUUAUUGGGUGUAAAGGGGGCGUAGACGGUGAGACAAGUCUGGAGGGAAAGCCCCGGGCUCAACCCCGGGACUGCUUUGGAAACUGCCUGACUGGAGUGCGGGAGAGGCAAGCGGAAUUCGUAGUGUAGCGGUGAAAUGCAUAGAUAUUAGGAAGAACUCCAGUGGCGAAGGCAGCUUGCUGGACAGUAACUGACGUUGAGGCUCGAAAGCGUGGGUAGCAAACAGGAUUAGAUACCCUUGUAGUC
rnacentral:rRNA from 1 species